UAUACAAUAUUUCUGUGGAAGGUUGAGAGAGUUGGAGGUGUCUUAUAUAUCUAUGUUACUGUUACAUUUUUUAUCCCGUGUUAAAGUCAACACUUUCUAUAGAGGCCUUAAGGGCCUCUCCACCUCGUUCGGAUAGCUCUGUGAUGUUAUCACAAAUAGGCUGAGCGCGCAGAGUGUCUUUCAGUGUUACGUAUCUCGUGAGAAAAUCUCAAAUGCCGUUCAAAUGCUGCGUUCCGAAUUGUAAUGGUAAUUACAAAAAUGAUCCAAACAUUCGCAACAUUUUCGUUUCCAAAAAAUGAAGAGAUAAAAUGAAAAUGAUUACAAUGGAAAAUGAUCAUAUGCCAUCUGCAGAAAGGACUUCCAGUCAACAAAUAAUUCAAAAUUGAAUGGAAAACUAACCACUACGUUGAAUCAAACUUGCAAACGAUUAACUGCACCAUUGACAUGAUUGACCAAAGAUGCUGUCCCAAGUCAGUUUCCAAAUUGCCCUCAUUACAUGACCCCUAAGCGACUAGUUCCAGAAACAAAGCGAAUGAAAUUAGAGUAUAUGAUUGAGCAAGCUAUUGCUGGCAGUAUCGAAACGGAGCAAGUGUUUAACGAAAAAAUUGGAUUUUCUAGUCUCGACGAACUCUACACGAAGAUAAAAGAACGCAUCGAUCUGCAAAAGUGGAUUGUUUCAUGCAGGGACAACAUUUUUUAUAUACUUCACAUUGAAAAUAUUUCAUACCCGAAUGUGAAAUGUGUGCGAGUGUCAGAAGAUUUCACUUUAAGAUUGUUUUAUGGAUCGCGGGAGGUGACAAAACUAAACGACAAGAAAUAUAAUUUUCCGUUCAUCGUGAGUUCGGUUCUUUGAAUUCGAAAACCGAACUCUAUUGAACGUUGAUAUCGUUGGACAAAAAAAAAUAAAAUUCAAGCAAUGGAGAACAUUAAUGUUUGCAUCGAUAUUUUGAAUUCUUUGUUGAUAAUAUUACUGCAGCGAAAACCUGUUAUGAAGUUCUUGUUGCAGCAGAUAAAAAUCUUGAAUACUUUGAAUAAAAGUGCCUUUCGAUAUUUAUGGGAAACAAUCUUGUUUUAUAGAUUACUGCAUUCGAUUUCUCCACACGCGUACAAAUUUCUUUGCAAUUCAAGACGUUAAUUGCUAUCAUUCUCAACGACAAUAAAAAGAAUAUGCAGAACUUCUCCAGUAAUCCUCAGGUGGAACAAAAUGAAUCAACGUUGCCUCUGUAUAUGACGUCGAAAUUUAGAUUGCUUCGCGAUGAAGAUAAAACGAUAACUCUAUGAUGACGAAAUUCAUAUAAAACCAUAUAUGGAUUAUAAAGGCGAAAAUAUUGUCGGGAAAGCUUUUAAUAGUGGAGAUUGUACAAGUGCUCACGUUUCAUGGUGAACAGUUUAUUAUCAACGUACUGCGAUAUCUUGCCUGUAAAAACAUUGUAUGAGUACUGCAAAGUUUUUUUAACAGUGAAUAAAACCACAGCGUUUUUUAAUAUACGCGAAUAAUCGAGGAGGAUUAUGUUAUCCACACAAAGACAUUCUGACAUGUGCAGCAUAGUUAUCAUUAGUUAUCAUUCAAAAAUUACUCGAAAACAAGCGUGAAUUUCUGAAUCAACCAAAUCAGCGCGAAAAUUAUGAAAAUUUAUCUAUUUCAAAGUUUAUCUUACUUGAAUUUUGAACUAUUUUUAGGUCACUGUUGUCCGAAACAUGCAAUACGAAAUGUAAUAAUUAAAAUAUCAC